AUGGCACAGGUACACAAAAUCAAGUCACCAUGUGGAACUUCUGUACCAGACCCAGCACUUCCCCCAGGUGCUCCCUUUCCCCAGGAUGUUUAUCUCCUUGCAGAUAUCUGGUAGUCUAGGCUUGGAAGGGAGCCACUUGCACCUAUUUAAUGGCUUCUCCUGGAAUGUACCCAUUGGGAAUGAGAAAAACACUUCAGCCAACCAGAACACUGCAGAUGUCUAUGAAAGAGGACUCCACAAAGCAACAUGAAUAAAUAAUUGAUAACUCUUC